UGAUCUAAAUUAACGAAUGUUUUUUUUUUUUAUAGGAAGUAUGCCAGUUCCUAAAUUCCCAGCUUGAUCCCACCAAUGUCGACUCAGUCUUCUUUGCUGCGGAGACCAGCCAAGUCAUAUCUGGAUGUGAGAUUCAUGUGACCAAUGAAACCCGAGACAUCCUUCUGGCUGCUGUCAGUGAAGACUCCACCAUGUCUCAGAUUCACCGGGCUGUGAGCGCACUUAGCUCUUUGGGGCUUCCUCUGACCUCUCAGGAGGUCGUCGGCGCGCUCACAGCUCGCAUCAACAA